AACGAACGCUGGCGGCGCGCUUAACACAUGCAAGUCGAACGCAUGCUUGAUCUUCGGGUUGGGCAUGAGUGGCGGACGGGUGAGUAACGCGUGGGAACCUGCCCUGAGGUUCGGGACAACCGUGGGAAACUGCGGCUAAUACCGGAUAUCUCCUUUGGGAGAAAGACUUGUCGCCUUGGGAGGGGCCCGCGUCGGAUUAGCUUGUUGGUGGGGUAACGGCCUACCAAGGCAUCGAUCCGUAGCUGGUCUGAGAGGAUGAUCAGCCACACUGGGACUGAGACACGGCCCAGACUCCUACGGGAGGCAGCAGUGGGGAAUUGUUCGCAAUGGGCGCAAGCCUGACGACGCAACGCCGCGUGGAGGAUGAAGAUCUUCGGGUCGUAAACUCCUUUCGAUCGAGACGAACGGCCUCCGGGCUAACAUCCCGGGGGAGUGACGGUACCGAGAGAAGAAGCCCCGGCUAACUCCGUG
rnacentral:rRNA from 1 species